rnacentral:rRNA from 1 species
CCUACGGGUGGCAGCAGUGAGGAAUAUUGGUCAAUGGGCGAGAGCCUGAACCAGCCAAGUCGCGUGAGGGAGUACUGCCCUAUGGGUUGUAAACCUCUUUUGUAGGGGGGCAAAAGCCGGACGUGUCCGGCUGUGAGAGUACCCGAAGAAAAAGCAUCGGCUAACUCUGUGCCAGCAGCCGCGGUAAUACGGAGGAUGCGAGCGUUAUCGGGAUUGAUUGGGGUUAAAGGGUGCGCAGGCGGAUUUUUAAGGUAGCGGUCAGAUCGUGGGGCUCCACCCCAUCCAGCCGUUGAAACUGGGGAUCUAGAGUGUUCGAGAGGUAUGCGGAAUGCGUGGUGUAGCGGUGAAAUGCAUAGAUAUCACGCAGAACCCCGAUUGCGAAGGCAGCAUACCGGUGCACAACUGACGCUCAGGCACGAAAGCGUGGGUAUCGAACAGGAUUAGAUACCCUUGUAGUC